rnacentral:lncRNA from 1 species
CGUAGGAGGAGGAGAGAAAGUGAGAAGGCAGGGAUGUUAACCAGGAACGCGUCUGGUUGGCUACGCUACUCGGGGGGACGGGAAAGAGGAAAUAGGAAGAGAGAGAGA